GAAAAUCCUAAGUGUAGGAUGUAUCUUUAGGAAGGUUCCUGUAAUUCCCCCCCCCCCCUUUGGGUGUGUUUUAAGUCUCCUGUCAUUCAUUUACAGCCAAGUUGACCAAAUUGUUUGCUGAGAAGUUGGUCUUAUAUUUUUAGCAUGGCUCAUGCUUGUGCACGUGAUUAUUAGGCUCCAGUUCAGAGCGCUUUGAGGCUAUACACUUCGCUGGAUCCAGCUUCUCAGCGCUGGCUUGUUAGAAUAGGGUUUCAGUCUUUUUCUGUUUAAUUGAGCGUGUUUCUCUGGGGCGGGGUGGGCGUUGUUUCAUUAGGUGCCUCGGAGCCUGACUGCUGCAGAAUAUUCAAGAUCCUAAUUUUGACGAAGACGAUAACUAAAUAUAGAUUUGUGGUUUAAAUACACUUAAAGUGCCCCCAGUUAGCCUUUUGCUGAAGAUCAACUGAUCAGCAAGUUGGGAACAUGGCUGCUCCAGCGAAUGCUUUACAUCUCUUCUUGGUGCUUUUUUCAUUGCUGGUUGGAGUUCCAGCUGUGGAAGCUUUGGAUACAGGUGACACACUAGCUAUCUUGCUGGGCAUGGUUCUCAGUGCCAUUGGACUCUGUGCCUGUUUGGGCUUAUAUGCAAGAAAACGAAAUGGAGAUCUGUGACUUUAAGGAAAGAUGUCCUGGUCAAGGACAUACAACUGGAUUGGAUUGAGGUUUAAAAUUGAGUUUCUGGUUGCUCCCAAAGCUGACAUAUGAGUCUUCAGAUCAUUAUUGCUGUUCUUUGUUAAGGGAUAGAUAUUGCAUCUGAUAGAAAGAUGUGAAAUUGAACUUCUGAGAAUAUAAUGAUUUCAUAUUUUCAGGUAUUGCCUUAAGAGGGAAACAACUGGUUUUAUUGCACAGGAAAAAAAUAAGUAAAAAGUUGCAUAGGAAAAUGUUAAUUGAGGUUUAUGAGAAGGGAGAUUGUGCAGAAAUCAGUCAAAACUGUAUGUAUGAACUUUUGUAAUAGAGAAACACUCCUAAUUGAUAACAUUGAAGAUUUCUUUGCUUAGCUUCGUGUUCAAAUAGCUGUUUCUUUCUUAACACCCAAAGUAAAUUAGAGCCCCUUUCUGUUUCUAUGAAAAGUUUUACCUGAUAUAUACCUUCUUGUCAUUGUCAUGUGUUCUUUUGGGAUCUCUUUAGCUUAAAGAACUGAACUUGAGGAGAACUGUUUGUCUUAGGAAGUAACUUACUGGAAGCAUAUGUGAUGCAGAGAGUACACAUGUAGCUGUAUUUCUGCAUGUUUCUUGUUUAUUUUUGCAGAGUUCCUGGUGGGUUGGGUCCUCAGAUCUCUUAAAAAUCUUAAAUCUCUUAUUUCGUUAAAAAUUACUUAGAAAAAUAUAUCAAUACCCAAAUAUGUUCUGCUCUGUUUCCCUCAGUUUGUUAUUUUCUCUUGUCUAAGACUUUUGAAUGAAUAAUCUGAAGGUGUUUAAAGAGGAAAAGUGUUACUGAGAACCCAACCCAAUGAGUAUGCAAAGUCUUUCAGUAUAACUUAGCAAAUUCUACAAGUUGCAUAGUUGAUAAAGGGGUCCAUGGGUAUCUUGAGAGUGCUUUGGACCUCUGUGUUUAAUUGAGCACCUAGAUCUCGAUAGAAGGUAUACUUAAAUUCCUUGCAAAAAUUUUCCAUUUUUAAAAGGGGGGAAUCUUGCAGCAAAACAGAAUCAAAAGCAUAGAAAUAUGGAAUGCUUAGUAAGAUCUUAGCAUGCAUUGUUUUAAGCUGCAAAGAAGGGUCUAACAGUGUAACCUGAUGAAGAGUGAUCUUGCUCUGAGCCCAGUGAAACUGUUGGCUUUAAACUGCAAUCACUCUGCAUAGGUUUACAGAGCAAUGUAUGCUUCCCUUUUGAUGUUGACUCAGGGAUAUGAUGCAUGUUCUAAUGGAACACUGAUUUUCACUUCCGUUUAAUUCCCAAGAGCCAGUGGGUACACUUGCUGUAAAAUUUCAUGUGUAUCAUCCUUUUUUAAUAGGCAAGCUCCACUUCACCUUGGUGUAUGCUUAAAGAAGUGUGGUAACAAAGUAAAACAUAUAGCAAAGUGGAAUUACUGACCAGCAGUAGCUGAAAAGUAGAAUCUUUUCCAUCAGUUUCUCUACACAUAGCAAGGGGCCCAUCACAACUGGGUCAUCAGGCUUUGCACUGAAGGCUGAAAUUAGAGGUGCCAUCAUUCUUUGUCAGUAGGAGGCUUAAUUGGCACUGCCUAUUAAGCCAGGUUCCUCUUAGGACUUUAAGAUAGUUGCACAUCUGACUUUAAAAUGAAAUAGAAAUUCCAAUAGAAAGGGGAAAGAGACUAUUUAAAGCUGUGUAUUGUUUGUUUUAUUUCAGAUUUUUGAUAGAAUUAACAGGUGCUUUGCCAUGCUACUUCUCUGCUUUUCCCAGUUGAAUGUGUGUUAUUCAGGCUUGGCAUGCACAAAAUGUUCACCAAGGCUUGACCUUCCAAUUGAACAUCUUUGUCAGCUUGUUUUCAUGUUUGUUUUCUACUUUUAAAGGAAUCAAAAACAUACUUGCUUGUGGUACAAAAUGUAUAUGUAUUGUGUUGAAUGUGAAGUGGUGUUGGGUUUAUGAGUGUUGCUGAUAAUCCAUUUUAAAAUAUAGGUCAGUAGCACCUGGUUAAGGAGCAGACCAAUUCAUGUAUUUUAAAGGAAUGAGCGUGGAUGUGUCACCGAGCAUCCAUUUCAUGUCGGAUGUGAGGCAUGUGUUUUGUAUCAGAGUAGGAAAAUACCAUGUGUGAAGUAGUCCUAAUAAGCCUAUAUAUUUAGAAUACUUUCCAAGAAAGUGUCAUUGAUUUCCCCCUGCUACAUGCUUCUUUGUACAUGUGAUAAAAAGAUAAUUUGAAAAAAAUGACCUGAAAAGGAGGGAAUCGCCACUCAUACAGUAUUCUGCUUUCAAUGUUGCCUAGAGGCUCUGCUGCAAGAAUUUUUGAGAAAAAUAGUUUUGUAAUAAUCUCAUCUAAAGCUAAUGGAGAAGUAGUUAAUUAAAGCCUAAGUUAGCGUAUGAAGCCAAAGAAACAUACUUGAUGUUCCACUAUAUAUUUAUGUUGUGGUUUUAUUCAUUUAGUUUACUGUAUACAAAAUUUGUAACUGCAGUCUUGUCAGACAUUGCCCAUUUCAGCUUCGAUCCAAACAAGAUGUUUCCCAGACUCCAUGAAUAUAAAAUCUGUUACGUUUGGCCUUUGACGCAUCACAGCUACUGAGAAAUGUUCUUCACCAAAAUGUCUGUAUUUUGCAUUGGAAAGAUUAUUUUAUAUAAAUGAUGAUUGGUGACCUUUAAGCCUUAGGGUAAAAGCUAUAAGUAUAUAUAUAACUGUAUGGUACAAAGAAUAUACUUGUCAGUUACUUAAUUUAGUGAAAAGGAUUUCUGAGGUAAGAUUUUUUUCUGACUUCCCUCAAUUUUUAUUAAAACUAUUUGGUUCUGUUUAUUUGAACAACUCUGUUACAGGAACAGGAUAAUUGAAAAAAACAAUUGUUUAAAAUGAUGUUGUAUUUCUUUUCACUGUCUCCCAAUAGUGAAAUACUCUCUCUUCUGAAACUUUCUAUGGUAUAAAAUCCAGCUCUGCAAACAUCUUAAUCCUUCGGAAUUAAAUGGUGCAGCUGAUUUAGAAACCUCGAGCUUGUUAGCAUUCGGGCUUCUUGCUGUAUUGAUAAUGUAUUUAUAAUACUAGAAAACGGGGGGGGGGGGGAUUAAUACUGUAGAAGACCUAAUUCAUUGGAGUGGAAUGUAGAUCAAGCUUUAAAAAUUCUCCCAAAUCAUAAGAUUAAAUUUACCUUUCCUUGUUUGA